rnacentral:rRNA from 1 species
GACGAACUGUCCUAACGUUGUUCGGAAUCACUGGGCUUAAGGGCGCGUAGGCGGUCCGACAAGUCAGGGGUGAAAUCCUGCAGCUCAACUGUAGCAGUGCCUCUGAUACUGCCGGUCUCGAGGGAGAUAGGGGUGUGCGGAACUUCCAGUGGAGCGGUGAAAUGCGUUGAUAUUGGAAGGAACGCCGGUGGCGAAAGCGGCGCACUGGAUCUCUUCUGACGCUGAGGCGCGAAAGCUAGGGGAGCAAACGGG